GAAUGACGUCACAUUUUCAAUCUCUAUCCUGGUGGGCCGGUCUCUAGUCAAAAUGCCCGGGCCGAUUUUUUUGUCCCAGUCCAGCCCUGCCUACACGGGUAUUUUUGAAAACGCAGCUGUUUCUAUGCGUUUGGGCUUUUCGUCAACACGUAAACGGCGUUGCGAUUCACCGAAAACGGAGAUUAUUUAAAACUCCUUUUUUGCGUUUACGUGUGGACGAGGAUUACAGAGUUCGUCACGCAACGUCAAAGUUUUACUGAAGCAUGUGGACAACAACAAAGAAGAGUGCUGACGAGUGAGCUGCUGUCAAGUGAGCUGAUCAUAUGAUCUACCACCCACUGAACUGUCUCAGCAUCCAGACACAGAUCUAAACUAAACUCAACAGUUUACAUGAAACAUUUACAUUAGAGACAGAUUAAUGCUCCAAGGAAGGCACACACAACGCACUUGUUCUCUUUUCAGUGUUAAGGGAAAGAGACAUCUGU
ensembl:lncRNA